UUGAAUUUCAGAACAUCUAGAAGGUGGAUCGGGGAGGGGCAGAUGGAAUAUGUUGUCACUGUGUUCCUAUUAUUAUAUUUAGUAUGAAUACAAAAGUACCUGGGAGGAUGUCAGCCUCUCCAAACAAACCAGACUGGAAAUAUAACUAGAUAAACUAAUUCUACUUUAUUGUAAGGCUACAUUAACAGAAUUUUUCAAGUCUGAAAGUACAGACUUCCCACCAUCACCUUUAACUGAUCCAUUAGGGCAGAUGGAUCCUUUCUGCCUCUGAUUUUAAGCUGUUGGGGGCUCCUGCUUCUCUUGUCCCAUCUCAUCUCAUCUCAUCCCAGCAUCUCAUCCCCUUGUUCUCCAAUGUCAUCCACACCAGUGGUGGGUUGCUACCGGUUCGGUCCAGAUCUUGCGAACCAGUAGUAACGGCGGUGGGAGGCUCCGCCCACCCGCCCAGACGUCGUCAUGGAUGCUCUGUGCCUGUGCAGAAGCACCGUGCGCACAGGCUCCCAUUGCAAAGAGGUAGCAAAGGUAAGUGGAACCUAUCCCUGAUCCACACAGUCUAUUACAGGAGAACUCAUGAUGUAAUUAUGUUCGUGACAUCAUCAUGGUUUGUAAUGGGCACCUGUGUCUAGAGAGUUUAUUAUGAAUAUUCCAGCGAAAUUCCCUUUACUUACUAUUUGAUUUACCUAUGAAAUUCUUGACCAGGGAUGGGACAAAAUUCUACUCCAGGUGCAUUUUUCAUUGCGGAAUUUAUGACAAAACAGCCAGGUAAGAGGUUUCUUUAUCCUAGCAUCUUCCAGAUAGUUAAAGUCCAUCUUCAAUUAUCCAUAGGUCUUCUCCAAGACACUAUCAUCCAAACAUUAGCAAGCAAGGCCCUCUUUCUUAGCAGCUUGUAUUUGCAACGUUCUGUGUCUACAUAAAAUAUGUUUUUGACAAAAUGUUCAACUGUCUUGCAGAUCUUUGUUUUAGAUUUCUCACAAUUUCUGUCAUCUUAUCGGAAAGUAUUUUUCCAAGGAAAACUGAUCAAUGAAAACAAGGGACAUUUAAUCAGCCCGGCAUGGACUAAAAAAUGGCUUCAAGUAGUAAAACAACCCUGAAUUCACCUGGGAUUUUUUUUUCCAAAGCUGUGGAACACAUAGAUGUCAGUUCGCGGGUUUCCAGUUUGGUCCAUGGUCCACGUGCUGCUUCUUCUUUUGAAAUGAGGCGUGUUCUUCAUUUGAUGUUCAAAGCUAAUAGUCCAAGAAAAG